GGGUUGUGAGGUUAAGCGACUAAGCGUACACGGUGGAUGCCCUGGCAGUCAGAGGCGAUGAAGGACGUGCUAAUCUGCGAUAAGCGUCGGUAAGGUGAUAUGAACCGUUAUAACCGGCGAUUUCCGAAUGGGGAAACCCAGUGUGAUUCGUCACACUAUCAUUAACUGAAUCCAUAGGUUAAUGAGGCGAACCGGGGGAACUGAAACAUCUAAGUACCCCGAGGAAAAGAAAUCAACCGAGAUUCCCCCAGUAGCGGCGAGCGAACGGGGAGCAGCCCAGAGCCUGAAUCAGUGUGUGUGUUAGUGGAAGCGUCUGGAAAGGCGUGCGAUACAGGGUGACAGCCCCGUACACAAAAAUGCACAUACUGUGAGCUCGAUGAGUAGGGCGGGACACGUGGUAUCCUGUCUGAAUAUGGGGGGACCAUCCUCCAAGGCUAAAUACUCCUGACUGACCGAUAGUGAACCAGUACCGUGAGGGAAAGGCGAAAAGAACCCCGGCGAGGGGAGUGAAAAAGAACCUGAAACCGUGUACGUACAAGCAGUGGGAGCCUCUUAAUGGGGUGACUGCGUACCUUUUGUAUAAUGGGUCAGCGACUUAUAUUCUGUAGCAAGGUUAACCGAAUAGGGGAGCCGAAGGGAAACCGAGUCUUAACUGGGCGUUAAGUUGCAGGGUAUAGACCCGAAACCCGGUGAUCUAGCCAUGGGCAGGUUGAAGGUUGGGUAACACUAACUGGAGGACCGAACCGACUAAUGUUGAAAAAUUAGCGGAUGACUUGUGGCUGGGGGUGAAAGGCCAAUCAAACCGGGAGAUAGCUGGUUCUCCCCGAAAGCUAUUUAGGUAGCGCCUCGUGAAUUCAUCUCCGGGGGUAGAGCACUGUUUCGGCAAGGGGGUCAUCCCGACUUACCAACCCGAUGCAAACUGCGAAUACCGGAGAAUGUUAUCACGGGAGACACACGGCGGGUGCUAACGUCCGUCGUGAAGAGGGAAACAACCCAGACCGCCAGCUAAGGUCCCAAAGUCAUGGUUAAGUGGGAAACGAUGUGGGAAGGCCCAGACAGCCAGGAUGUUGGCUUAGAAGCAGCCAUCAUUUAAAGAAAGCGUAAUAGCUCACUGGUCGAGUCGGCCUGCGCGGAAGAUGUAACGGGGCUAAACCAUGCACCGAAGCUGCGGCAGCGACACUAUGUGUUGUUGGGUAGGGGAGCGUUCUGUAAGCCUGUGAAGGUGUACUGUGAGGUAUGCUGGAGGUAUCAGAAGUGCGAAUGCUGACAUAAGUAACGAUAAAGCGGGUGAAAAGCCCGCUCGCCGGAAGACCAAGGGUUCCUGUCCAACGUUAAUCGGGGCAGGGUGAGUCGACCCCUAAGGCGAGGCCGAAAGGCGUAGUCGAUGGGAAACAGGUUAAUAUUCCUGUACUUGGUGUUACUGCGAAGGGGGGACGGAGAAGGCUAUGUUGGCCGGGCGACGGUUGUCCCGGUUUAAGCGUGUAGGCUGGUUUUCCAGGCAAAUCCGGAAAAUCAAGGCUGAGGCGUGAUGACGAGGCACUACGGUGCUGAAGCAACAAAUGCCCUGCUUCCAGGAAAAGCCUCUAAGCAUCAGGUAACAUCAAAUCGUACCCCAAACCGACACAGGUGGUCAGGUAGAGAAUACCAAGGCGCUUGAGAGAACUCGGGUGAAGGAACUAGGCAAAAUGGUGCCGUAACUUCGGGAGAAGGCACGCUGAUAUGUAGGUGAAGUCCCUCGCGGAUGGAGCUGAAAUCAGUCGAAGAUACCAGCUGGCUGCAACUGUUUAUUAAAAACACAGCACUGUGCAAACACGAAAGUGGACGUAUACGGUGUGACGCCUGCCCGGUGCCGGAAGGUUAAUUGAUGGGGUUAGCGGUAACGCGAAGCUCUUGAUCGAAGCCCCGGUAAACGGCGGCCGUAACUAUAACGGUCCUAAGGUAGCGAAAUUCCUUGUCGGGUAAGUUCCGACCUGCACGAAUGGCGUAAUGAUGGCCAGGCUGUCUCCACCCGAGACUCAGUGAAAUUGAACUCGCUGUGAAGAUGCAGUGUACCCGCGGCAAGACGGAAAGACCCCGUGAACCUUUACUAUAGCUUGACACUGAACAUUGAGCCUUGAUGUGUAGGAUAGGUGGGAGGCUUUGAAGUGUGGACGCCAGUCUGCAUGGAGCCGGCCUUGAAAUACCACCCUUUAAUGUUUGAUGUUCUAACGUUGGCCCCUGAUCGGGGUUGCGGACAGUGUCUGGUGGGUAGUUUGACUGGGGCGGUCUCCUCCUAAAGAGUAACGGAGGAGCACGAAGGUUGGCUAAUCCUGGUCGGACAUCAGGAGGUUAGUGCAAUGGCAUAAGCCAGCUUGACUGCGAGCGUGACGGCGCGAGCAGGUGCGAAAGCAGGUCAUAGUGAUCCGGUGGUUCUGAAUGGAAGGGCCAUCGCUCAACGGAUAAAAGGUACUCCGGGGAUAACAGGCUGAUACCGCCCAAGAGUUCAUAUCGACGGCGGUGUUUGGCACCUCGAUGUCGGCUCAUCACAUCCUGGGGCUGAAGUAGGUCCCAAGGGUAUGGCUGUUCGCCAUUUAAAGUGGUACGCGAGCUGGGUUUAGAACGUCGUGAGACAGUUCGGUCCCUAUCUGCCGUGGGCGCUGGAGAACUGAGGGGGGCUGCUCCUAGUACGAGAGGACCGGAGUGGACGCAUCACUGGUGUUCGGGUUGUCAUGCCAAUGGCACUGCCCGGUAGCUAAAUGCGGAAGAGAUAAGUGCUGAAAGCAUCUAAGCACGAAACUUGCCCCGAGAUGAGUUCUCCCUGACUCCUUGAG
rnacentral:rRNA from 1 species